AAGAACCACAGCCAUCGCCCGUCUCCCAUCUCCAAGAUGGCGGAGGCAGCUUCAACCUCACCUCUCGCGAGGAGUUUGUCCCACUGUCUCUGAUUAGCCCCGAGGUCAGAGGGCAGCCACAGAUGGUACAUGAUUUGUGAAACUUUGUGGAUCCCUUUCCCACAUCGCUAGUCUUCAUCCCAUUACCUGUCGUUCAGGUAUCACAGGCUUUGUGAGAACUCAGCUGCCAGAAUUUUAACAAUGAGAGAAAACAUUCAUUCUCACUUCUGAAGGCUUUCAUUGCUGUAAUGAUCUCCAGGUGCUGCUGUGUUGGAACUCUAGAACUGGUGCAAGCUAUUUUCACACCAUUUGCCUCCUGUUGCGUGCCCUUCCUCUCUAUGCAGAUCAGAGUCUGGAAAUCCGGAUAGCGGGAUGUUGACAAAUUCCAGUGCUCUAUUAAACUUUUUUCUCCCUCCUCCCACCCCCGCCAAAUCUUGUUGCUUCCCCAGGGUUCCAUCCUCUGUCUUCCUCUCACUCAACACCCUGCUGCUUGAAUUCAGUAAAAUGCUAUGAUCUACCAAGUCUUCUAUUUCUUAUGUAAAUUUUUCUGCCUUCGGAUUAUUGUCUGAAUUAUCUAUUCAGUUGCUUAAACCGGAACCUUAGUUUUCUCACCCUCUACAUCCGUUUGAUGACGAGGAUAAUAUAGAAUAAGUAAAUAGUUAUUAAAUCCAUCCCUUUCCGUCUCUCUUAUUGUUCUUGAUCAGGCCCUCAUGGCCUCUUACCCUCAAAGGCAGUAAUUUCCUCCAUGGUUUGCUGUGCAGGAAGUAUCAGAAUGUGAUAAGUGCUUGUGAACUGAAGUCUAUUUUAAGAGUUCAUUGAAAUUCUUUACUCAUCAGUUGAUUCCCACAAAUAUUUACUGAACACUUGUUUUAUGCACAAAGGGCUUGGGAUACAUUAGUGAACAAGACAAAGAUUUCUGCCCUCAUGAAGCUAAUAUUCUAGUGGAGGUUGGAGGAGGCAGAGAAGUCUGACCAUAUAAAAUGUUGUAAGGUGAAGGGAGCUAGGUGGCGAUGAGGGGAUUGCAAUUUAAAUACAAUGGAUGGGACAGGCCUAAUAGAAGAAGGGACUAUUGAGCAAAGAUGUGGAAUGGGUAAGAGUUAGCUCUGAGGACAUCUGGGGGAAGGGCCUUGCAGGCAGAGGGAAUGGCUAAGGCAAAACUCUUGAGGCUCAGUGUCCCCAGCCUAUACAAAGAACAGUAAAGGGUCAGUGUGGCUGGAGCAGAGUGAGCUAGGGGGACAAAUAUAAGGUCAGAGGAAACAGGAUGCAGUCCUAUGGGGACUUGUACGCGAGGGUAACAAGGCUUUGACUUUUACUCUGAGAUGGAGAACAUGCUUUAAGCAGAGGAGUAGUGACCCAGUCUUUUAAAACGAUCACUCUACUGUGUUGUAUAUAGAUAUCAGGGGGCAACUUAGAGGCGAGGACACUGGUAGGCAGGCUUCUGUAGUAACCUAGGUGAGAGAUGAUGGUGGCUUACACCUGGGUGGUAACAGUGAAGGAGUAAGAAGUGAUCUUGUUAUCUCUUCCUUAUUCCCUUCCAUUUCUUUAUUAACCUUUAUUUAUUGAGUACCUAUUAUGGUGACAGGCAUUAUGCUAGGUCUGGGAAUAUACUGGUGAGCAAGACUAACAUUACCUAUCUUCAUAGAGCUUAUCCUAGUGAGGGGAAGCCAUACAAUAAAAAUGUGAAUAAAAUAACAUUGUGCUGAGACGCCUGAAUACAUUACAAUGUUAUAAAGGUGAAUGAGGUUAGAGGAGGGGUCACUACCUACUUUAGCUGGGGUAGUUAGGUAGUCUUUCUGAGAAGGGAACAUUUUACUGAAAACCAAAGAAUAGAAAAAAAUCUAGUAAUGUGAAGAAUGAAAAUAGGGAGGAUGGGAAGAGCAUUCUCCAGACAGGGAGUGUGUACUGGGGCCUGAGGCAGUUGUGAGUUCAGUAUUUCCUGGGAACUGAAUGGAGGCUAUGGUGUGAGCCAGGGGAAGAAGGGUAUAAAAUGAGGUUGAAGAAGUAAGUGACGUGUUAGUUUGGAUUUUAAGUGCAGCAGGACGUCAACAAACCUUUUUAGGCAUGGUAGAGACCUGAUCUAAACAUUUUUAAAGGCCAUUCUAUUAUGUGAAGAGUUUAUCAGUGCAAGUGAGUAGCAGACCAGUAAAGAGGCCAUUGCAGGCAAGUAAGAUAAAUUGGUAAUUUGGACUUAGGUAGUGGCAGCGGAGAAAGAAUGACCAGGAUUUGAGAAUAUGUUGCAGGUAGAAACAUCAAAACUUGCUCACAGAUGGAUAUGAGAAUGAGGAAAAGAAUCAAGGUAUUAAGGUUGACUUGUACUUGAAUUUCUUCUGGCUUGAGCAUUUACUGAGAUGUGGAUGGCCUUUAAGAAAGAGAACAAAAACUGCCAAACUACAAAAAAUAAAAAUAAAUAUAUAUUAAAAAAAGAAGAAGAGAGCAGUGUAACCCCCACAAAACAGGAAUUGUGAGAUGGGAGCAAUUUAGGAAGCAGGGUCAUCAGCCAUGGGGUUGUAGGACUGGGGAGUGCCAGAAGAGAAAGAAUGUAUAGUUCUCAAAGGUUGGUAAUGCAAGUUACUAAAGAAGCAAGAAGGAUCACCAGCCAGUGCAGAGUGCCCUUCUGAGAGAAUGGGAGAUAUUUAUAUGCUCAUGUGAUGUCUUCAUUUGGCUCCUUACAAUAAAAGCUAUGGGACUAAAUGAAGAAUUUUUAAUUUGAAAUCCAUGAAUGCCAAGGUCUUUGAAUCCUCUGAAAAUGAAAGAAAAUCAUACAUAGAAUAUCUGCUUGACAAGUUAAAUCACAAAGUUUGGACCAAACCACGAGUCCGCUGAAAUAGUCCUGUGAGGUAUGUAUCUGCACAGCCACAGGGACUGACAAAGUCUUUUCGUCUCUUGUUGCUCUCAAAUGCUGAGAACUGUGGUAGCUGAAACCACUGUUCUAGUGGACAGUUAUAAUAAUUAUUUCUUCAUCUUGUUCCCUACAGAGCUGCCCAAAGUUAUCUUCUGCUCCUGGGGUUGGACCGUGUUUUUGUGAAAGUUACAAUAUUGCUAUUUACAAAAAUCCAAAUAGUUCUUUUGAUUUAUAUGAUCUAACUCUGAAUCAUAGAAGUAUUACUAUGAUGUUUAAAACACUGAUUGACUACUUACUUUAAAUACUCUCUCAGAUCCCUUACAUGUUUAUUACCAGUGAUCAGUAAAGAGGACAUAAUAAGCAGGUCUAAAAUUCUGAGAUGUCUACAUGUUCCCUUUUUAGUUUAAUAAGACUUCACUUUAUAUAGUGUUUUUGUAUGUUACAAAGUUGGUACAAUACACCUCUACCAGGAAAGUCUUAGAAGGAAUUCCAAAUAUUACAAUAAAAUUGUAACUAGAAACAUGACACGCGAAGCAGAAUACAUGCACAGAAAAUUAAAUCCUUUCCAAAAAAUGACACUGCUGUAGCCCUACACCAAAUCUGUAAUUGGUGAAAAAUCCAUUUCUAGUCUGGUAAAUGGUAGUAUAGCAACCUCUUAACUCAUUAGCUUUUCAACUUGUGACUGCCGCUGAAAUGUUUUCUAUGAAGCAUGCCACUGUCUGUAUUAGACAUUUGAUUUGGAAGUGUAGAAUUAGGAUUCAUGAAGUCUUGGUAUAUAAGCUUUCUAGACCUUUCCUUUAGGAUCACCUAAGUUAUGGUACUCCAAUGUGUUCUGAAAGACUUCCCAAGGAUCCCACUUUCUCUCCUGCUUCCCCUCUGCAUAACCUUCAGAUCUACUUGAACCCAUACUAGGGAGUCUACUAAGAGUAUAAUACCUGCUCAGUCCCUUAUUUGUGUGUGGCUUCACGCAAAAAAACUUUGACCUGUAACAUAUGGGUUUCAUCUGUGAAAAGGAAGGCCUUCACAUAACUAUCCUAA